CUUCAGUCCGACGCUCCAGAAGUAGGAAACUGAAAAUACUGACUCAGAAAAGCUCCUUUCCUUCCUAAUAAUUGUGCUUUGUCCUUCC